UACGGCCAUAUCACGUCGAAAUACAGCUUCUACUAAGAUCACCGAAGUUAAGCAAUGUUGUGCCUGGUCAGUACAUAGAUAGGUGACUGGUUAGGAAUAUCAGAUGUUGCAAGC